rnacentral:rRNA from 1 species
CCUACGGGAUGCAGCAGUGAGGAAUAGUGGUCAAUGGUCGGGAGACUGAACCAGCCAAGCCGCGUGAGGGAUGAAGGUACAGAGUAUCGUAAACCUCUUUUGUCAGGGCACAAAGGCGGGGACGUGUCCCCGGAUGAGUGUAGCUGAAGAAAAAGCAUCGGAUAACUCCGUGCCAGCAGCCGCGGUAAUACGGAGGAUGCGAGUGUUACCGGGAUUUCUUGGGUUAAAAGGGUGCGCAGGCGGUCUGUUAAGCCAGCGGUCAAAGCCCGGGGUUACACCCCGGCCCGCCGUUGAAAAUGGCAGUAUCGAGUUGGAGAGAAGUAUGCGGAAUGCGCGGUGUAGCGGUGAAAUGCAUAGAGAUCGCGCAGAACUCCGAUUGCGAAGGCAGCAUGCCGGCUCCACACUGACGCUGAGGCACGAAAGCGUGGGUAUCGAACAGGAUUAGAUACCCUAGUAGUC